UACUCAUCAUCGUUUUACUUUUCCAUUAAAUACGUUUUUUCUGCAUUUGAACGUUCAUCAACCUACCAAACACAUUUUUAUGCUAAAAUGGAAAUAGCACUGUUCGGUGUCCACUAAAUUGAAAGCAAUUCAAAAGUAAAUUUCAAGCUAUAUUCAGAACUAGGAUGUUGUCAGCUACUCUAACCAGUGGUUUACAAACUUCUACAUUACUAUUGCGCACUCCAUAUAUUAAGAGAAUAAUGGCAGUAAGUACAUCAUUUUAACAUCUGGAAUCCUACAAACAUGCACCAAGAAUGGUCGGACUUAUCUCCAUGCACAUGACGCGACUAAAUCUUGCUCCAUCCAGCCAAGAUAUAGAGCCCCAUCUCUCUCUUCAAGUGUAUAGAGUGCACAGUAGUUUUCCAGCAGGGUCUUGAUAGUAGCAUUGACAAAGGAGCUCAAUG
rnacentral:lncRNA from 1 species